rnacentral:rRNA from 1 species
UUAAAUUGAAGAGUUUGAUCAUGGCUCAGAUUGAACGCUGGCGGCAGGCCUAACACAUGCAAGUCGAACGGUAACAGGAAACAGCUUGCUGUUUCGCUGACGAGUGGCGGACGGGUGAGUAAUGUCUGGGAAACUGCCUGAUGGAGGGGGAUAACUACUGGAAACGGUAGCUAAUACCGCAUAAUGUCGCAAGACCAAAGAGGGGGACCUUAGGGCCUCUUGCCAUCGGAUGUGCCCAGAUGGGAUUAGCUGGUAGGUGGGGUAACGGCUCACCUAGGCGACGAUCCCUAGCUGGUCUGAGAGGAUGACCAGCCACACUGGAACUGAGACACGGUCCAGACUCCUACGGGAGGCAGCAGUGGGGAAUAUUGCACAAUGG